UACGUAGGGUGCGAGCGUUGUCCGGAAUUAUUGGGCGUAAAGAGCUUGUAGGCGGUUUGUCGCGUCUGCCGUGAAAAUUCGAGGCUCAACCUCGAACUUGCGGUGGGUACGGGCAGACUAGAGUGUGGUAGGGGAGACUGGAAUUCCUGGUGUAGUGGUGAAAUGCGUAGAGAUCGGCAGGAACACCCAGGGGGAAACCAGUGGACUGGGCAGGAGCUGACGCUCAGGUGCGAAAGCGUGGGGAGCGAACCGG
rnacentral:rRNA from 1 species